rnacentral:tRNA from 1 species
GGAAUUAUGCCUGAGUACUAAGGAACACUUUGAUAGAGUGCCCUACGGGUGUUAAAUUCACCCUAAUUCCU